rnacentral:rRNA from 1 species
AGUGAACGCUGGCGGUAGGCCUAACACAUGCAAGUCGAACGGCAGCACAGUAAGAGCUUGCUCUUACGGGUGGCGAGUGGCGGACGGGUGAGGAAUACAUCGGAAUCUACUUUUUCGUGGGGGAUAACGUAGGGAAACUUACGCUAAUACCGCAUACGGCCUACGGGUGAAAGCAGGGGAUCUUCGGACCUUGCGCGAUUGAAUGAGCCGAUGUCGGAUUGGCUAGUUGGCGGGGUAAAGGCCCACCAAGGCGACGAUCCGUAGCUGGUCUGAGAGGAUGAUCAGCCACACUAGAACUGAGACACGGUCCAGACUCCUACGGGAGGCAGCAGUGGGGAAUAUUGGACAAUGGGCGCAAGCCUGAUCCAGCCAUACCGCGUGGGUGAAGAAGGCCUUCGGGUUGUAAAGCCCUUUUGUUGGGAAAGAAAAGCAGCAGGUUAAUACCCCGCUGUUCUGACGGUACCCAAAGAAUAAGCACCGGCUAACUUCGUG